rnacentral:rRNA from 1 species
UUUCUCGAAAGUAAAAGAUCUAAUUAAUCUUGUUAGUUUUUGUGUCAAAAAAAUUAAGAAAGUUUAUUUAGGUGUGAAAUGUUAAUCGUUUUUACUAAUAUCUAGUAACUUCAGAAAAAAAUUUAGUUUAGGCUGUUAAGAAAUUCUUAUUUUUUUUAUAGACUUAUAUUUUAGGGGAUGAGCUCUAAAAUAAAUUUAAAAGAAGAAAUCCAAGAAUAAGUUUUUUGUAGGCUUAGAAUUGGCCAUCAGAUAGUGUUAUAAGAUAAAAAUUUAAAUAUAAGAUUUAAUCUUCUUUAAAAAAUAUGAGGUUAAUAUAGAAAUAAAAUAAACAUUGAAAAUAUGAUAGUAUAAGUAGAAAUAAGUUUAAGUUUUUCAUAAAAUAGAAAAAUAAAACUUGCAAUAAAAGAACUCGGCAAAUAAGAUUUCCGAAUGUUUAACAAAAACAUUUCCUCUUGAGAAAAGGAGGUAAGACCUGCUCACUGAAAGUUAAAGAGCCGCAGUAUCCUGACUGUGCUAAGGUAGCAUAAUCAUUAGUCUUUUAAUUGGAGACUGGUAUGAAUGGUUAAACGAGAAAUCAGCUUUUUUUAUUGUAUAAAUUGAAUUUAAUUUUUUAGUGAAAAAGCUAAAAUUUUUCAGAAAGACGAGAAGACCCUAUAGAGUUUUAUAAUUUAGAAAAUUUUUUCUUAAUGGAUUUAUUUAGAUAAAAUUUUUUUGUAUUAUUUUGUUGGGGCGACAUUAAGAUAAAAAAAACUCUUUAUUUUUAAAACUUUAAUAAAAGAAUAAAUUGAUCCUUUAAAAAAGAUCAUAAGAAAAAAUUACCUUAGGGAUAACAGCGUAAUCUUUUUUGAGAGUUCUAAUCGACAAAAAGGUUUGCGACCU